CACGUGAGAAUUUACCUUUAGGAGGGGGAUAACAAUCGGAAACGAAUGCUAAUACCCCAUAUGCUUUCGAGUGAAAUGGAUUUAUAUUUAUCCGCCUAGAGAGAAGCUCGCGGCUGAUUAGCUUGUUGGUAAGGUAAGAGCUUACCAAGGCGACGAUCAGUAUCUGGUUUGAGAGGACGAUCAGACACACUGGAACUGAGACACGGUCCAGACUCCUACGGGAGGCAGCAGUGGGGAAUUUUCCGCAAUGGGCGAAAGCCUGACGGAGCAAUACCGCGUGAAGGAUGACGGCCCGUGGGU
rnacentral:rRNA from 1 species